UGGACAGGCGACCGCUGCUGGCCGUUGGCUGGCGGAGGAAAGUCCGGACACGACAGGACACGGUGGUGGGUAACGCCCACCGGCCCAUGAUCGUCGGGCCAGGGCCAGUGCCACAGAGAGUAGACCGCCGAUGGUCUUCCCCUUGUGGGGAGACACAGGCAAGGGUGAAAAGGUGCGGUAAGAGCGCACCGCCGCCUCGGUGACGGGGCGGGCACGGUAAACCCCACCGCGUGCAAGCGCAAGCAGUCCCCAGCCCAUAUGGGCACCCGCGGUCCGCGGUUCAGGGACGGGUAGCGUGCUUCAGGGCGUCGGCAACGCCGCUCGCAGAUGAAUGGUCGCCCCGGGCCGCUCCGCGGCCCGCGACAGAAUCCGGCUUAUGUCCAAUGA
rnacentral:RNase_P_RNA from 1 species